CAUAUAGAAACACAACUGAUUUUUGUAUGUUGAUUUUGUAUCUGUAACUUCACUGAGUUCAUUCUUAAGAGCAGGAGUAGAACCUGGAAUUCCAGUAGUGACAAGGAAGGAAAUGGUAACCCUGGAGCUGGAUGCAGGCUUGCAAGGAAUGUCAGGCCUGACUUAACCUCACACAAGAGGGAAAGAAACACCUAUGGAGGAGGCCCCUAUGAAAUAACUGACCUGCAUUUUAUCAAAAGUAUAAAGCUCAAAAAACAUUACUCAGAAGAGAAUGGCUUUUUCCCAGCAUGAAUGAAUAAAAAAAAUGCUAAAACAAAAUUGUUUUGCCCAUUGAGUUCCAUAACCAUUUGGCCCAAGGAUGGAAGGGCUUCCCUCAUCUUCAUGAUUAGGUUAGCUACUAUGUAUUUAUCCUGAGUAUGAACACAGUGAUUAGAGUGAUUAGGGUGUUUAGAGUUUGUGCUGGGGUGGACAGAGAGGGAAGGAAGCCAUAUAGAUCCUCAACCAGGUGUUCAGGUCUUUAUAUGAUUGAGCCAGAGCCCUUUUUGUUCUUCUUGUUAGCCCAGAGCCUUGAUGCAUUUAGUGGCAUGAACACAAUCUCUUACUGGGAAUGUAGGGAACUUAGUAUGUUUCUUUCUCUUGAGAUUUCCCAAGUUCAAGGUGUAGCAAAGAGAUUCCCUGGUCUUUUGAAAAAGCAAAGCUCAAGGCUGCUCAGCUGAGCAUUGGCAAUUCUAGACCUCCCUUGGAACAGAUGCUAUCAGUUAGGAAUAGAUUUCUAAGUAUUUCAUGAUGCUCAAACAUAGCUGAACUAUUUACCUUUUCAUGGCUGGUCUAUUCUUAUGCUUUGAGAGUAGCUUCCAUAGUGCAGCAAGAAUACAUCAGCAUAGCACCUUCCCCAAAGACACAGGAAAAGAUUAUUGAGUUAGGCAUCCCUGGGGCUUUGAGUAGGCAGAUCAGUUAUGGGAGCUUGCUCUGGGAUUUCUGAAAUGCAACCAUUCCAGAUAGUGUAUCUUAUAUGCUUUACCUUUCUUGCUGGAGGGCAAGGCACAUAUGAGCAUAGGCUAUGGAACAAAUUCUGGGGCCACCAUUACCACUUUGUGAUCUUAUGCAAGUCACUUCAUUUCCCUCAGUCUCAGUUUCCUCAUUUCUCAGACAGGGACCACUGUAUUUAAAUGUGAUGGUGGGUGACAAGGUGUGUGCGUCUAUAUCACUGUAUGCCUGACAUACAGUAGAUACUCAAGAAAUGUCAGUUUUCCUUUCUCAUGCCCAUGUAUGUACCACCCCAGCAGAAAGUGGGUUAAAAGCAUGGAAAGAGCAUUUAAUAUUUUAUCUGUUAGCAGUCAUUUACUUUCUCCUUCCUAGAGCAUUACAGCUCUUUCCAAAGAGGUAAAAGAGGCCCUGAGAAGAUUAAAUCAGCAUGUAAAUUUCAGCUUAAUUCAAGCUAAGCCCCUUAAACUUUUGUUUGCAGAGAAGCUCCAGCCUAUAGCAGGGUCUGGAGCACAGGCGCUCUGAGCAAGCACACUGGCACAGUCCCUGGGGCUGUCUGCCCUAGUGGGCUGGUUUUCAAACUAGUCCACUUCAGAUUCAUCUGGAGGGAUUGUUAAAAAACCUUUCUAGAGGGAUCUACAAAUUUGCAUUUCUUGUAAAUUUCCAGAUGAUCCCAGGCUUCUGGGUAGGGGAGAACCACUGCUCAGUGGGAGCAGGCAGCUGCGACUCCUGGGUUCUAGGCCUAACCUGGCUUUAAGGAUCUGGGUAACUUUAGGAGACACAGCUGCUCUUUUGUCCAUCAAUGGGCCAGAAGUAUGAUUUGGAAAAAUAAGUUAGAGCAGAGCUCCCUAAUCGUUUUUCUAUAGUGGGUGGCCACCCAGGCCUUAUUAGACUGAUGGAGGACUGACAGGAAUCAAUGUCUUGGCACAUCUGUAACUCACUAGGAAUGUUUGGUGCACAGGUGGGGAAAAUCUGAGUGGCUAAAAGGACACGCUUUCAAGUCCUGGAAACCUUUGAGUAAAUCCUCACUCUGCCUAUCUGGGUGGGCUUCUAGCUGUUCACCUCGGUCAUCUGUGAAAUGGAAACAGUGCUUGUACCUAUAUCCUAAGGUUAUGGUGAACAUCAAUGAGUAAAUGCAUGUAGAGUGUUUGGCAUGCACAUUGUUAUGUCCAUUUCUAGAAUUCUGUGAUUCGCUCUUGUGCCUAUCCUGUACCUAACUGGAAGAAGAUGAUAAAUCUCUUCAGUGUUUGGAAAUAUAAGAGCUUGUUUUUGGAGAGUGCUCUAAGAGAGUGCAUCUCAAUCUUUAAUGUAUUCAAAUCACCUGGGGAUCUUGUUAAAAUGCAGAUUCUGAUUCUGUAGGUCUGGAAUGGUGCCUGAGAUUCUGCCUUUCUGUGCAGUUCUCAGGUAAUAAUAGCCCCACACCUAAUCCACAGAGCUCCCACUGUUCGACCAGCAAGGCUCUGCAGCAGUGGCUCUUGAAUUUGGUUGCACAAUGGAGUCAUUUGGGGGAAUCUUUUAAUAACCUCAGGCUCUACUCUGAUGCUUGUGAUCAUAAUCCAGAGAUUAUAAUUACAUUAGUUCACAGUGGCAGCUCCCCAAGUGAUUCCAAUGUGUAUACAGUUUGAGUACCACUGCGCUACAGUACUGGUUCUCAAAGUUGGCUGCAUAUUGGAGUUUUAAAAACUAAUGAUGCUUGUGUCUCACCUCCAGAGAUUCUGAUUGGUCCAGGGUGAGGCCUAAGCAACAGGGGUUUUUAUAAGUUCCUUGGCAGCACUUAGGAGAACCACUCUCUAAAGUCUAAAGCACUCUUUAGAGUAAGGCACCAGGAGAAGUUGAAUUGAUUCGUGUUCCCAGAGCUGGAAGUAAUUAAUUUCCCUUCAGCUAGACCCCCUUUUCCCUAGGAGAUUUGCACUGAAAUAUGGCCAGAAUAAGAACUUUGUAAACCUUUAUUUUAAAGGCAAAAACAUGUUUCACAUCUGCCUUCAGGAAACUGUAUUGUCCAGUAGCUCAGAAAUAGGCCCAAGAGAAAGAGCAUUCAGCCCCUAAUCCCCUACACCACCACCUUCAGUGUGACCUUGACAAAUCUUUUCAUGUUUAUAUUUCUGUAUUUUCUCAUUUGCAAAACUAGGCUCAUCCUACAAAGUGCCCACAGGACUCGUGUAUGGUCAGAUGCAGCUUCAAAAACACUCAUGCUUCACGUCUCCCAAAUUAUUCCGAUUUGCUGACUAAAUUUCGACAUUUGUACAAAAUACGUACUUUUUGAGUCUUGAAAACUGCACACAUUUAAACUAUCUCUUUCCCUCUUUUAAUGGUACCAAUUGCUUUCUCUUUUAUUCACACAAUUUAGGCUUAACAUACUCCAGAGAUGCAGAGAAAUCAGUAAGAGGGUGGAAAUGAUUUUUUAAAAGCUGUGGCAAGAAGCCUGGCCUUGGGGAUGGAGGUGGUAUUCUAGAGCAGUGGUGCUUAAACCACCAGGAUCACUAAGGAGCUAGCAGAGCCACUGAGACUCAGGCCAUUGAAGCAGUGUAGGGCCUAGACCUUAUGUUUCUGCAAGUUCCCCUGGUGUUUCUGGGUACCCACCAACACUUGAGAACCACAAUCCUGGAGUUGCAGCUUUCCCUUGAUGUAUUUUAGUUAAUCUCUUUCCAAACACCUUCCUAAAGUCACCCAAAGCUGGAAAGGUUUCUUUCUGGUCUGCAAAACACAAGUCACCUGUUAAUUUUCAAGCCACUCAUAAUAUAGGUGGAGGUGUUUUUAUAAAAUCAGAAAAAGACAAUCCUCACAGAGCUGUAGAGUGGGAAUAAAAAGGUUCAGAGUCCUGAUGGUCUCAUCUCAUCCUCCCUUACACCCUAGGAAGAGGGCUGGGGAGGGCGGCAUUGCUGAAUGGCCAGGGCAAGGUGGGGACUGCAUCCUCCUGACUUUCAAGGGGUGGAAACAUCAGUUUCCUACCUGGCCCCCUGUCCCCUGCCAGGGGCUCCAGGAACAGUGUUGUGACCCUCUCACCAUUGGCACAGCUGGAUGGGAGCCCCUGGAAACUCUGGAUACUGACGGAGUGCAGGAGGAACCAGUUACCCUGAGCUGUAAAGCCGUGUGGGGGUGGGAGCAGGGCUGGAGAGAGGAGGAAUGAUGAAGGCUGUCAGCCCACCUUCCAGGAUGAUGGCCCACAUCUUUGUUUCACUAGCACUUGGCACAUUGCCUAGAACGUAGUAGGUGCUUAAGCAAUGCUUGUUGAACAAAGUGGCAAAAAGAUGUAAAAUCAGGUAGCACAGUAGAGCCCAAAGAUGCCAGAAAACAGGAGAAAAGUAGGUGUUGAGAGGGUUGAAAAACCCAAGAAAGGAGAUGCAGGGAGUUGGGAGGGAGGUGUGUGUGGAGUGGGGAGGAUGCGUGGGCCCCUGAAAUGGGGAGAGAAGGUGAAAAAUGACAGGAGAGGAAGAGAUGAGGGAGUGAGGAAGGGCAGAAGAUGAGGACAGAGCAACUGUUUCAUGGGGAGUGACUCAGGCCGGAGACAGGCAGAACUGGAGGGAGAAGCCAAACAGUGCAAGCGAAGUGGGUCACUGUCAGGAAUCAUCACGUUUUCUGGAACUGGAUGUUUUCAAAUUGCAUAAUCCCCCUUGUUCUCAGUUAUCCUGCACAAGAAAGUGGAGUUCCUCCCACAUUACAAAUCCAUCUCAGUUAAGCCCCAGACGUCCACUUAAUACCACAGACAACUCCUUGGCAGCCUUCCCUGCCUCCCUUUCCCGCCCGCCACAUCCUGCCCUUCCCCCGCAGAGGCACAACUGGCUCUCCAGGCAUUUCCCUUCCCGACUUCCAGCGUGACACGAGGGCUCCAGGGGCGCCUUCCUGUCCCCACAGACCCUUGCUGUUCCAGAGCCGCUGCCAGCCUAUCCACAGCCUUUGUGCAAAUUGGAACAAGGGGCCCAUCUAGAUCCUGGGCAGAUGAGUUAGAGAAAGGCACAGGUGAGUGAAAACAAGACACGCAGUCAGAAACUCAAAGCAGCAGCUGUGUGUGUGUGCUGGGGUGGGGAAUGUAGACGCGUGUUCAGGGAAAGUUUCUAGUAGAAAGUGGUAGCUGAACUGACUUUCCAAAGAUGAGCAAGUGUUUUCUCUGUUCCAGGUUUUUUUUUUUUCUUUUUUGGGGGGAGGCAGAGAUGUGGAACAGUAUGGCAGUCGAUAUUUCUGGAGUGUUUUUGUAUGAGGGCAUUGAGAAGGGAUCAAGUGGUAGGGUUGAGGUAAGAGUAGGUAGGAAGGACCAGUUUUUAAGCCAGGGCCAAGACAGUGAGACUUGCCUUUGAGAAGGAUUGCUUUGGAAAGCUAAGGCUCAAAGAGGCAGUUGUAGAGGAGGGUCCUGUGUCAGACAAUGAGGGGACCAAUCUGUUUUGUCAUGCUAAUCCUGGGUCUCUCCACCCACACCUGCAUGGCCUCCAUGAGAUUUCCCUUGCAGUGCUUGCUGGGCCCAUUUCACCACCCUCAAAAGCCAAAAAAGGGCUUAGAUUUAUAGUAGCAUAGUUAUUGCCCUUGGUCCCCUAACACAGUGAUUUAAAAAUUUGUUUUCCCUAUUUUUUAACAGAAUUUUAUUCAUCCCAGGUUAGUUUUUAGAAAGCUAAACCAAAAUGCUUCCCUGGGCAUUUAUUGAUUUCCUGAAGACAUUUAUAGCACGUGUCAGCUGAAUGGGGAAGGAAAGGAAGAGAUCUUGCAGACCUUUGCAGGAAGAUGGCACCUACAGUCAAUUCUCAGUCGCCCCCUGGAGUGGGGACUUGUGAGGUUACUACUAGAGAGAUGGCCUCAAGGAGAAGAGAUGGAGAGAGAAAUGUUUCAUCUCAACUAUGGACUGAUCUAAUCAUGGCUGGCUGAGCCAUCUACGAAACACCACCUUAAUGGCUGUGCCCAGGGGACGCCAUGUUUGAUUUCAGCAGCAACAAACACUCGAGUUAACAGGUGGAACACAUCUUAGGUCUGAGACAUGAAACUGAGAGGAACCCAAAGCCUCUUAAUCGUUUGGAGUUUUACAAGAGAGGCACUUGAGGGGUGUGUUUACGCCUUGUUUAGACAGGGCUUCAUCUUGGCAGCAUUGGGGCCUUGGGUUGAGAACUUGGUAAAAAGUCCAGCCAAGGCUGGCUCAUAAACGAGACACCCAACAUCUAUCUUCAGAGAAGCCAAUAAAUUAUCACUGCUGAUAA